UUUUGCCUCGAGCACAGAUUCUUCCUGAGUAUCAGCUUUUCUGAUCAAAAUUCCCGACAUCUGGCCUUUUGGGUUGCUGACGACAUCCACAGUCUCAGUGUUGAAAUGCACAGUGAUGUUUGGAUUGUUGAAAACUCUGAAACAUUCCCCAUAAUCAACCUGUCUUGCAUUGCUCUUGAUGCUCUUAGUUGGUCCUUACGGACAAGUAAAUGAACAUGGCGCGCAUACUUUGUUAAGUAUAU
rnacentral:misc_RNA from 1 species